rnacentral:rRNA from 1 species
UACGUAGGGUGCGAGCGUUGCCCGGAUUCAUUGGGCGUAAAGGGCGCGUAGGCGGCCGAGCGCGUCAUGCGUGAAAUCUCCCGGCUCAACUGGGAGGGGUCGUGUGAUACGGCUCGGCUGGAGCGAGGUAGGGGGCAGCGGAAUUCCCGGUGUAGUGGUGGAAUGCGUAGAUAUCGGGAGGAACACCAGUGGCGAAGGCGGCUGCCUGGACCUUAGCUGACGCUGAGGCGCGAAAGCGUGGGGAGCGAUCCGGAUUAGAAACCCGCGUAGUCC